AUUUAAACAGUUUUAAUGAAUAAACAUUAAAAGAACAUAUUAGCUCAUUAGAUUUAAUAUAAACUUGCAUAAAUAAUGAAAAAGAGAAUACAAAAAGUGAAUAAAGAGAGAAAAUAUAAUUGUUUCCUUGAUAUAAGGAGGUGGUUCCCAAAUGAUUAUGCAUGCAUACUUAAAUAUGUGGAGUGCAAGAGAAUGGUAGGUGUGGCAGAAAUAUUCAAAAACAAAGAUUUGAUGAUAUUUGCAAAAAAUUCUUAUGCCAAAAAGAAAAUAUUUGAUCAUUUUCUUAUUUAGUUACAUGUGAUAUAAUAUAGAGGUUCUUAAAUUUAUUAUAGAGUUGCAUUCAAAAAGUUUGGUCAUAAUUUGAAUCCAUGAAAAUUCAGAAUACAAUAUUCCAUAGAUAUAGUGCUAUAAAUGUAGGUUAGGUUCCCCAACUACAGAACUCAGAAUAUUCAAUAGGGUCAUUCCAUGUCAAAGGGACCAAUAUUGAAAAGUGUCCCCACUCGACCAUCUCC
rnacentral:lncRNA from 1 species